UGACCCAGCCUCCCGAUCCCCUUGCAGCCGUCAUCGCCGCCCGACCAUGGAGUCCCGGCCGCCAGCUCCCUGGAGAUUUCCGCCUCCCUAAAAGUCCAGGUCUCCAGUCCAGCGCGCCGCCACCUCCUACCCCGCACGCCUCACCAUGCGCCUCCGGUCCGCCCCCCAUCGCCGCACCCCGUCAGUCCCCUGCCCCCCGUCACAGCGCGCCGCCGGACCGCCUACCGUCGCUGGCUCUCCCCAGCCCCGAGGUCACAUCUCUUCCGGAGAUCCUCUCCAACCCGUAGUUCCUCGCAGAGGGCACCCACUCACACCGGCAUGUUAAGAGGAGGUACGUCGCCCCUCCUUGCGGACGCAUGGACGAGGGUCUCACGCUGCCGCCGGCAGCGGCAACUGCAGCGGACCACGUGCUCCGGCGUAGUCAGGGGAAAGCAGCGGCUCCGACUCCAAUGUUGGCCUUGGCGGAAGCACGAAGGGGUCACACUGGGCGGCACUGUGGCAGGGGACAGGGUGUUGGGUUUCACGGUAAGAUCGUCUAUUGGUGGAUUCCGUCUGGAUUGGAGCAGUGCAACAGGAACAGUAUCGGGGGUGGUAGUGGUCCAGGACAUGGGGACGGGGAGAGGAGAGAUAGCUGUGAGCACGAGGUCCUUGCCGGCUGAAUCGAAUCAAAGCACUCCGUCCAUCUCUAUUGGCCUUGGACGAACAAGGCAAUAAGGAUGGGAGAUCAACAUAUUGUUGUUUUCUCUGGUUAAUGUGAAGUUCCGGUCUAUCUAAAAAGCAGCUAAUGUCUAGCAAUCUGCAGCAAGAACUCUAUCCACUCAUCUGGUCCAACUUACACCCAUGGAAUUCUCCAUCCACAUCUCUCUGUUCGUGAAAGCAACUGCUAAAUUUGUAUGACCUUAUGAGAAAUCGACGGAGGCAGUGCGUGAGCUAGCUUCCUUGUGGCCGGAUUGAUACAGGCACUGCAUGAGGAACCGAGCCACCGAUGCAGGUCGGCGCUGGCUCCAUUGCACAUGGCAGCCGCCACCACACCUGCCGUCUCCGCAUCUGAACAACCGCUGCUUUGUGAGCCGCCUCAUCUAGCGAGGAUGCUGCUGCUGCUGAGGACGCAGGAGCCGCCUCAUCCGGUGAAGACUCGCCACUGUUCCACAGUGAGGCCGCCGCUGGAGCGGUUUUUUCCGCACUAAUAACAGUCCGCCUGUAGAGCUCCACAGAUAGAGUUGGAUGUGUUCGAUGAUGGAGCUACCUGCGUUGGCUGUGUUGUCGGUUUUCAGCUCCUAGAUGAGAAGGAAAGGAUGUACUUGAGCAAUAUGAGAAGACCCAGUUCCAUUAUCUCACAAGCCAGAAGUCUCCCAUUUACUGACUUUGGUACUAAUUUUUAAAAGAAUGGUCAAUCCGCUAUCAGCACCAUGAUUAUGUGUCAAUUGUAGAUUCUUAAUUGCUUAGAAUUAUUUUAUUUGCUUAAUUCCUUCUGUUGAUAUUUAUUCAACAACAAAAUAUUUUCAAGAUUGGUCCGUGUGAGGAUCAAACAUGUGAAUGGAUGUGGCAUCAAGCUAAGUCUGUUGAUACCUUGCUCACCUUUUUGUUUUGCUUUGAGUGGGUUAUGACUUACUUUCUGAUUGUUGUUUGUGAGAAAAUACCACCUCUAUUUGUCUCUCUAAAUUAUCAUUGGUCAUUGCGACAAGGGUGAUUCAGAGUUGUAGGUUGUAUGCUGGUCUAAUAUGGCAGGUCCCACAAAGAAAACA